rnacentral:sRNA from 1 species
CGGUUGGGCUGGGCCUCGGACCUCGGACGAGGUAGGGGUGGUGCUUUCUGGAGACACGCCCUGAGAGUCAUGGAGUUACGACUGGGGAUGUGGUCCUGUCUGGCUGUAGCACCCUGAGCCUGCUGACUCCCACACUGCAACAGCUGAACCACGUAUUUGAGCUGCACCUGGGGCCAUGGGGCCCUGGCCAGACAGGCUUUGUGGCUCUGCCCUCCCAUCCUGCCGACUCCCCUGUCAUUCUUCAGCUUCAGUUUCUCUUCGACGUGCUGCAGAAAACGCUUUCACUCAAGCUGGUCCAUGUUGCUGGUCCUGGCCCCCCAGGGCCCAUCAAGAUUUUCCCCUUCAAAUCCCUUCGGCACCUGGAGCUCCGAGGUGUUCCCCUCCACUGUCUACAUGGCCUCCGAGGCAUCUACUCCCAGCUGGAGACCCUGAUUUGCAGCAGGAGCCUCCAGGCAUUAGAGGAGCUCCUCUCAGCCUGCGGUGGCGACUUCUGCUCUGCCCUCCCUUGGCUGGCUCUGCUUUCUGCCAACUUCAGCUGCAAUGCACUGACCGCCUUAGACAGCUCCCUGCGCCU